GGAAUUCCCAGAGCUGAGGCUUUUUUCCCCUGUAGCUGUGCACCCCUGAUCUUCCCAGCACAGUCACGGAAAUCUCUCAAUCUGUAUCUCCAUACCUGCAUAAUGUCAGUGGAAAGAAGAGGAGACAGCAGCAGGAGAAGAUAUUCUGCAGGAUCCUGCUGCUCAUCAUCCUCACCUCAUGUGUCUCUGGAUCAUUUGUAGUCAAUGUGACACAGACCUCCUAUCAGGCAGAGGAGAACCACAACAUCACACUGGAGUGGACGUUCACCACCAAACCUGACAGAUCCUCCAAAACUCUCAACAUCCUCUGUGAACUCUUCAUCAGUCAUAAAUCCUCAGUCCUGUAUCAUGUUCAUGAAGGUGUUGAGGUGUCAGAGUCUCAGGAUGCAAAGUUUUCAGGACGAGUCCAGAGUGACAAAGACGCCCUCAGAGAAGGACGAAUCAGACUUCAACUGUCCAGACUCAGGACUGAUGACUCGGGUCUGUACCUGUGUGAGGUCAACACUGAUUAUGGCUUCAGUGUUGGAAGAUGUCGACUUAACGUCACUGCUGUUAGAGAUUGUCCUCAACCUGAGACAUCAAACACAGAAAGUCAAGGAAGGAUCGGAGUUUACUGUGGACUGAUAGCAGCCUUGCUGCUUCUCUGCUGCUUUUCAUUCAUUUACUGCCUGCACAAAAAGGAAGAUUAGUUCUGCAGCAAAAUGUACAGCUCAGCAAAUGAAUCACCAAAAAUAAUUAGAUCAGCAGUGAAAAUGAUAAUACUGGAGUUUAGUUUAAUAACACAGUGCCACAAAAUAAUAGUGUAAUAAUUUAAUUUUACAGGCUUAGGUAUUCAUUGCCACUCGGGCGGUUAAUUUCUUCAUGCCUAAAUUCAACAACCUGCAUGUGUAUAACUCAGGAGCUAGGCAUACAAAGAAAUUCUUGCACACGUCAGUGUCUGCAUUGCGCCUGCUGUUGGAGUUUUACGCUCGCAAUAGAAUCUUGUUUACUCUAAUCAACAGACUUUUGACUGUCUGGAGGGCAGAGCCCAAAGAAACAACACUGUUCUUUUGUUUUUUAAACACUCUGGUAUUGACAAGAACCAUAUGAUUUUCCCAACAAAUAAAACAAUAUGAACAGUAGAAUUUACAUGUCAACACAAAAAUGUUCAGUUAUGCAUGAACUAGAGUAUAAUAAUCACUUUCAUCUUAAAAAAGAAUAUUUAAUAAAUGACUGACAUUUUCCUGCUUUUUAGCUACUCUUCACCAGCACCACUAAUUUCUGAAUGGGCCUUUGAAUGAUGGAUGUUUGGAUGAGGAGUUUGCCUCAUUUUCCUAACUUCCAUUCUCCAAUCUGCAUUGUCACCUUCCGUAUGAGCCUGUCUUCAUCGUCAUGUGCUUCAACAACUCUGGCAAGUUUCCAUUCAUUCAGGGAAAUCCUCCUCUUUGAAGAUCACAAUAUCACCCCCCUCCACGUUAUGUCCUGCCACAUGCCAUUGCUGUCUCAGAACGAUGUUUGCCACAUAUUCCUUCCUCUAUCUGUGCCAAGAUUGCAGAUAUUGGACCCUUCUCCACCAUUUUUAGCAUACAGAUCCUUCUUGACAAAUUUACCUGGAGGGGAAAAUGGAAAAGAGGAUUUCCUGGUGAUCAAGUGAUUGGUGUGAAUGGCUCCAAACUUUUGGAGUCACCGAUGUUAUUGACAAUGAGUGGGAGGUUAUUCCUAAUGGAGAGAGCUUCAUAAAGGAAAGUCUUUAAAGAGGUAUCAUCCAACCUUAAAUGAUUGCAGUCAAGGACUGUGCUUAGUACACUUCUCACUGUCUGGAUUUGAUGCUCCUGGUAGUGACUCAUCCCACUCUGUGCCUCUCUGACACAUCUCUUGCAGCACCUUCAAGAAUGACUGGGGCUAGAAAUGCUAAAAGGUCAUAGGAGGAAGCCACAACUGCAAGAAUCCCUCAGCGUGUCUCUGACACCUUGAAGCAGAAGCUACCAUUUUCACUGUUCCACAUUAUACCUAGCACUUUUUGGACUGGUAAAUCAUUAUGGUUAAGGUCAACAUUUUUGUUGUAACAGUGGAUCAUCGAUGUACUUCCACCUUCAUCUCCGUUGACACAGCAUGAUCGUGAGAAUGUACUUUCUUCAACUGCGCCUUGUGUUGAUGGUGUCUCUGCUGGAGAGUGAUCUUCAUGCAAUGGAGUGUGGUGACUCUUUCUGCAUAUCCCACACAUUGCACCGUUUCUACAGUCUUUAGAAUUGUGACUUUUUCCUUAGACAUACAAAACACAACUUAUUUUCUAGUAUGCAUUUUUUCUUAUCCUCUGCAGACAUUUCCAUUAGGCUCUUGCAUUUAUGUAUAGAGUGGGUUUUCACCACAGCAAAUACAUGUGUCAGUAUUUGAGUUUUGUGAUUGUAUGCUCCAUUUCUUUGGUUUCUUAGCAUCUCUCAACUUGAUUGCACCAGGGUCAGAUUUGGCUUUUGAUCUUGAUGGAUCCAGCUGCUCUGUGACAUAACGGUUCCAUUUAGAUGUCACCCAUUCAGAAGUUUGACUAGUAUUUUCUCGUUCACAGUCAUUGAGAACCUGUAAGCCCUUUAUGUGAGGCAUUACUACAUGUUUGGAGGAAAUCAUUGAAUUCCUGUAGCUUGUGUACUGGAAUUUCCUUUAUCUGAUGAUCUAAUGCAACAGGGGGAAAGAUAAAUGGAAAUGACACAUAAUUAGAAAGGGCAGUAAUCCUACUAACAUACACACAUGCAGCAAUGCUCAUGAAGAUCAGAUAAU